GAAAACUUGUUGCUUUAUUUAUCUAUCAACCCCAUUGAUACUGUAACCAUAUUGAUUAGAUAAAAUCUGCUUGUCCGACAUAUUCUCUGCGAGUUAUCAGACGUAUUCGUCCGCGAAUCCCGGCACGAAAUCUACGGUUUGGUGUGAUAGUUAGAAUUUAAACGAAGCCAGUAAUUAGUAAAACACAAUAUUCUCUCGGAGGCGCUGUAUUCGCUCGAAUGCCUUCAAGGUCCACUGAUUCUGACACAAUGAAAAUUCGAUUUAACGCUAAAGCCUGAGAAGACGACGCAAGAGCUCGAAAGGCUCCCGACGAACGUGCGGAAUUGAAGGACGAUGAAGUACAGUACGAUGGGGAUUCGUCGGAGCUAAUCUAAUUUGCUAAACGCCCUCCUAAUCCCGAUGAAGUCUCCGGCGCGCUUCGCAUUCGAUGCCCCGGUAGUCGAACGCGCACGAACUUUCGGAGCUCCUUCUGCGUGACAAAGACGGACAAAGGACGAGUUACGCCUUUAUUAAAAAAUAAAUAGGAAAGAAAGAGAGGGAAAGAGGAGGGAAAAAGGGGGAAAAAGAAGAAACUGCAGAAAUGUAUAGCGGGAUAGUACACGCUUUGUGCUUCGAGCGAGGCACCGCGACCGCUCGCGAUGGCAGCGUUUCCUAGGAAAUACGCGUUCCCCCUAAUGUACCCGUCGUGCAUCUUGCGUUUUAUCCUCAAAGACCGCAUCAUCCCGUGUGGUCGCUGAAAACAAUUUAAAUUUGCAAUGCAAAGCAGUAAUAAGUUCUGGCCGGCCCGCGGCGUACGAUUUGCGAAGUGUGCCAUUUCGGUUUUUACUUUUUAACGGGCGAGACGAAGGCCGCUCCGACUUGGAAAUUUACGAGAGCGUACCGUCUGUGCGCCUCUGCGCGAGCGCGAGCGCGCGGCAUAUUCUAAAAUUAUACAACGCGACUGGCUGAAUGUGCAAAGUAAAUAACGCUCCGCCACGGAGCCCGGCGUGUUGCGCGCGUGGCCGCGGGUGAAUGAGCAAAGGGUGAUACGUUCGUGGAAUUUCACGAUCGUCGCAUCAGAGGCUGGACAGAACUGCGUACGGCCGCGGAAUUUCACGACCGGUGGAUUUAACUCGAACGAAAUAUACGUAUCACCGCGCGCGCUAACUUCUUGAGUGAUUUAACACUUCGGCUGCCGCGUCUUAAACGCACGGAUGGCUACGCUCCGCGUUUCCUCUCAGGUGCCGCGCAGUAUUUGCAUAUGGGCGCCGACUUUAUUGCGAUUCGAGUCAGCUACGCCGGAGAGAGAGCGUCUCCUCGUCUAGCAGGCAGAGAAAAAGCGAGUGUUUGACUUGAGGAUAACUCCGGCGAGACACGACGAGAGAGCGCGACGUCACCUUGAGAAUCCCGAUCCCGUGCCGCUCAUGAUCGAGGACGGUCCGGAUCUCGAGAUUGAAUUGUGAAAAGAUCGACGAUACGGAUUUCGCCCGCUUGACAAAUAACGAAUAGGCAAUAAAAGAACGACACGGCUGUCUCCCUGACGAUCUGACGAGUGAAAAAUCCUCUUCGGCAAAGUUAGAGAGAAAGAGAGAGGGGGGGGGAGGGAGAGACAGACAAAGAAAGAGAGAGAGAAUGGGACGAAGGCACAUCACGGCGAGAACACGAUUACUUCCAAACCUUUAUUCGUACAGAGCUGUCGGCGUACAUUAAAAACGUGCUAGGUUUGUCACCGUUUCUCGACGAGAGAGAAAGAAAACGAGAAAUAAUGAAACAUUCGUUCUUACAGAAGUACACAUGCUCCAAACGUGUGUGUAUGUGUGUGUGGACGAGUCGAGCGAGAACGAUUGGAGCGUCAACACGCGGGGCGAGAUUGCCUUUAUACAAGUACGAACAAUACACUCCACGAUAAAGUUUGCACAUUACAUUAAAAAUGAUGAAGUUUAAUUACAGGAUGGGCGUGCGACGCGCGGGUACCCACGCGCGCGUCGAUCGGCGAACGACGACGCGCGUAUCGACACGCGCGCGGUUCGCGCGCGCCGAUCGGGAUGACGCGAGCGAUGGAGCGACACUUUCCGGGGCACGACGUCCCAGAGAGAAGAGGAAAUGACGAUGACGUCGAAAUGACGAGAGAAUGAAACUGUGAAACUCACUUUUCCACAAUUUUGUUUUCGUCAUUUCGACGUCACUUUCACGUCAUCGUCAUUUCCCGUUCCACCCGGGAUGUCGCGCCCCUCGGGUGCGUUUGAUUGUUUUUCCUCUUUCUUUUUAUAUAUAUAUACAUAUACGUAUGUACAUAAUACGUAACAGAUAUAAUGUACAUAAUGAUAUACAUAUAUAUACAGACUGUCGUUUAUGCUUGACGAAUGGCGACAGGCGUUCUCCGGCGGCGCGGGCGCGCGGAUGGAACGCUCGCCGAUGGAAGCUCGUCGCGAAGGUUCUUACUUAAUCUUACUAGCCGAAGUCGGCAAGAAAUCCUCGCGUCCCGGCGACGAUUCCUUAAACUUUGCGUCGCGGGUCGUUAACUCUUAAUUAAUCGCUAGUUAUGUAUUAGUACGAGGGACGAGAGACGACGGUCGGCGAGACGUGACGAACGGACCCGACGUGACGAGAACGGACACUGAAGAAGAAGUGGAAGAAGUAGUAGUAGAAGAAGAACAGCGGUAAAAGAGAGUAACAAGAGAGAGG